UACAGAGGUCUCAAGCGUUGUUCGGAUUCAUUGGGCGUAAAGGGUGCGUAGGUGGCGGGGUAAGUCAGGUGUGAAAUCUCGGGGCUCAACCCCGAAACUGCACUUGAUACUGCCUUGCUCGAGUACUGGAGAGGAGAUUGGAAUUUACGGUGUAGCAGUGAAAUGCGUAGAUAUGCGGAGGAACACCGAUGGCGAAGGCAAUCCCCUGGACCUGUACUGACGCUCAUGCACGAAAGCGUGGGGAGCAAACAGG
rnacentral:rRNA from 1 species